CACGGGAGCAAUCCUGGUGGCGAGUGGCGAACGGGUGAGUAAAGUAUCGGAACGUGCCCAGUCGUGGGGGAUAACGUAGCGAAAGUUACGCUAAUACCGCAUACGAUCUAUGGAUGAAAGCGGGGGAUCGCAAGACCUCGCGCGAUUGGAGCGGCCGAUAUCAGAUUAGGUAGUUGGUGGGGUAAAGGCUCACCAGGCCGACGAUCUGUAGCUGGUCUGAGAGGACGACCAGUCACACUGGGACUGAGACACGGCCCAGACUCCUACGGGAGGCAGCAGUGGGGAAUUUUGGACAAUGGGCGCAAGCCUGAUCCAGCCAUGCCGCGUGCAGGAUGAAGGCCUUCGGGUUGUAAACUGCUUUUGUACGGAACGAAAAGGUUUGGCCUAAUACGCUGGACUCAUGACGGUACCGUAAGAAUAAGCACCGGCUAACUACGUGCCAGCAGCCGCGGUAAUACGUAGGGUGCGAGCGUUAAUCGGAAUUACUGGGCGUAAAGCGUGCGCAGGCGGUUAUGUAAGACAGAUGUGAAAUCCCCGGGCUCAACCUGGGAACUGCAUUAGUGACUGCAUAGCUGGAGUACGGCAGAGGGGGAUGGAAUUCCGCGUGUAGC
rnacentral:rRNA from 1 species